CAGCCUAACUGGAGGGGGGACAGCAGGAUCACGAUGGCGCUUCACUCAGGGUAAGGCUUCACUAUUGCACUGCACUGACCGCUGCGAAUUCCCCAAAUGUGGGAAUCUUCACUGCAUAAUUUCUGGUAAUGCAAUUUUUUACAUUUGUC
rnacentral:snRNA from 1 species